UACGUAGGGUGCAAGCGUUAAUCGGAAUUACUGGGCGUAAAGGGCUCGUAGGUGGCCAACUAAGUCAGACGUGAAAUCCCUCGGCUUAACCGGGGAACUGCGUCUGAUACUGGAUGGCUUGAGUUUGGGAGAGGGAUGCGGAAUUCCAGGUGUAGCGGUGAAAUGCGUAGAUAUCUGGAGGAACACCGGUGGCGAAGGCGGCAUCCUGGACCAAUACUGACACUGAGGAGCGAAAGCCAGGGGAGCAAACGGG
rnacentral:rRNA from 1 species